rnacentral:rRNA from 1 species
UACAGAGGGUGCAAGCGUUAAUCGGAAUUACUGGGCGUAAAGGGCGCGUAGGCGGCCGCCUAAGUCAGACGUGAAAUCCCUCGGCUCAACCGGGGAACUGCGUCUGAUACUGGGUGGCUUGAAUUCGGGAGAGGGAGUGCGGAAUUCCAGGUGGUAGCGGUGAAAUGCGUAGAUAUCUGGAGGAACACCGGUGGCGAAGGCGGCA